UACGUAGGGUGCGAGCGUUGUCCGGAAUUACUGGGCGUAAAGAGCUCGUAGGUGGUUUGUCGCGUUGUUCGUGAAAACUCACAACUCAAUUGUGGGCGUGCGGGCGAUACGGGCAGACUGGAGUACUGCAGGGGAGACUGGAAUUCCUGGUGUAGCGGUGAAAUGCGCAGAUAUCAGGAGGAACACCGGUGGCGAAGGCGGAUCUCUGGGCCAUUACUGACGCUGAGGAGCGAAAGCGUGGGGAGCGAACAGG
rnacentral:rRNA from 1 species